AGAGUUUGAUCCUGGCUCAGGAUGAACGCUAGCGGCAGGCUUAACACAUGCAAGUCGUGGGGCAGCGCGGACUUCGGUCUGGCGGCGACCGGCAAACGGGUGCGGAACACGUACGCAACCUCCCUCAGAGCGGGGAAUAGCCUCUCGAAAGAGAGAUUAAUACCCCAUAGUAUCUUGAAGACACAUGUCUAUGAGAUUAAAGCUUCGGCACUUUGAGAUGGGCGUGCGGCUGAUUAGGUAGUUGGUAGGGUAACGGCCUACCAAGCCGACGAUCAGUAGCUGAUGUGAGAGCAUGAUCAGCCACACGGGCACUGAGACACGGGCCCGACUCCUACGGGAGGCAGCAGUGAGGAAUAUUGGUCAAUGGAGGAAACUCUGAACCAGCCAUGCCGCGUGGAGGAUGAAGGUCCUCUGGAUUGUAAACUCCUUUAUAAAAGAAGAAACCCCAUUUUCUAAAUGGGUUGACGGUACUUUAUGAAUAAGCACCGGCUAACUCCGUG
rnacentral:rRNA from 1 species